AUUGAACGCUGGCGGAAUGCUUUACACAUGCAAGUCGAACGGCAGCACGGGGGCAACCCUGGUGGCGAGUGGCGAACGGGUGAGUAAUACAUCGGAACGUGCCCGGUCGUGGGGGAUAACGUAGCGAAAGUUACGCUAAUACCGCAUACGAUCUGAGGAUGAAAGCGGGGGGCCUUCGGGCCUCGCGCGAUCGGAGCGGCCGAUGUCAGAUUAGGUAGUUGGUGGGGUAAAGGCCUACCAAGCCGACGAUCUGUAGCUGGUCUGAGAGGACGACCAGCCACACUGGGACUGAGACACGGCCCAGACUCCUACGGGAGGCAGCAGUGGGGAAUUUUGGACAAUGGGCGCAAGCCUGAUCCAGCCAUUCCGCGUGCAGGACGAAGGCCUUCGGGUUGUAAACUGCUUUUGUAUGGAACGAAAAGGCUCUGGCUAAUACCUGGGGCUCAUGACGGUACCGUAAGAAUAAGCACCGGCUAACUACGUG
rnacentral:rRNA from 1 species